rnacentral:lncRNA from 1 species
AUUUUCCCUUUUUGUUGUUGGGGGUGACUUCUUCCCAGGCAUGUUAUUCUUGACCCCCCGGGGCAAACGGAGGUGUCAGCGUCAGGAGCCAUCCUAACUGAGGCCCUGGGAGGUCAGUGCUUUUUGUGUGACUGGACGGUGAAGCCGUCUGUGGGAAUGACCUGGCUACGGCUCAGUGUAGUCCUAACUAAGGUGUCUUUUACUCCGUGUUCCCAGGCUCCCUCUUUCCCUUCGGUCGCCGUGGGUGUGCCGGACGCCUCUGGCAGGACUAACCCUGUGGCUUUUAUGUCCAACGUGCUGUGCUGUGUGUGCCUGCAGAGCCCCUCUGGGUGAGCCCCAGUGCCUGGCAGGAGCAGAGCGGGCUUCCAGGGAGGUAUUCACCUGGUCAGCGUCAGGAACCGUCCUACCUGAGGCCUCGGCUCCCUCUUUUCCUUCGGUCGCUGUGGGUGUGCCGGACGCCUCUGGCAGGACUAACCCUGUGGCUUUUAUUCCAACGUGCCUGCAGGUCAUAUUUAUCUGCCUGUCAGAACUCUUGGAGCACUGGAUGGAGAGCAGGUCCUAUGAAGAGGAUUAUGGAGUAAAAGGCAGCUUGUACUUAAGUGCAGGGUGGUUGGUGUUUCUGCAGUGUUUGGCACAGGACUGGACUGAAUGCACUCCCUUUAUUCACCUUUUCAGAGAGUAUCAUCCAGAAUACGAGCGCCUGAGAAAAACACUGGACCUGAUGCUUCUGCAAUGGGUCCCUCUGAGCUAAUACUAACACGAGGAACUCUCGAUGAAGAGCAAGAAGAGAGGGAGGGUGACGCUGAUGGCAUUGACCAUGAAGGUAAGGGAAUGAGGUCUAAAAGCUGCCUCUCAAGAAAUCCCCUCUGUAUUUCAUGACCUGGAUGGACUGUAAGGAGAGCUUAGAAAACAAGCAAACAUUCAGUCACCUGACGUGUCAGAAUCUGUAGCAGAAGCUCAGCUGCAAUGGUCAGUGCAGGGAUAUCACUCUGUAACCUUUGUGAAAGUUCAAUUGUAAAUUUUCUAUUCAGGUACUUAAUAGGUGUAUAACACACAUAAACCAGAGAACUUGUUAGGCUUGGGGCAUGCAGUGACCUCUGAACCUGUUUGAUGCACAGAUGUGUCCAUCAUCUUUUUGGCCUUACAGUUUCUGCCCCUGGCUCUCUUCCCUUUUCCUGUGACUGUGGUCUUGGAGCAAUGUUCUAAGUUGUUACAGUGUGAUUUUUCUCUUAUAUAGCUCACAGACUUAAUCUUCAUUCUUUCCCUGUUUCACUGAUGGGUAGGAUCACUUAUUUCCUUUGCCCUAUAAUGUAGUUGAAGAUGGAAUAGACUUUCUAUGUUGCUUUGGCUAUCCUGAUUCUAGCUUUUUUUCAGAAGCACAAGUAGAACAAGUACUGAAAUAGCGCUGAACUUCAACAGCAACGGGGACUGCGCAGGAGAAGGAGGGUGGGCAGCGGGCCUGGGGCGGGCAGGGGGAUGGGGGUGGGGGCGGG